GGCAUUUCUCCAUGGUCUAAUGACAAGCUUGCUGACCAUGGCUGGGUUCACGCUGUUUGUUGUCUUGCACUUUGUUCUGUUCCUAGGACAAGGAACUGUGUAAGAAGGCAUCUUUUGAAAGAGGGAGAAACAGCACUGUGAAUAUCAACAAAGAAAAAUAACCUAAAAAAACAAAAAUAUUGUAUUUCGUCUGAACUUUUGGAUCUGUUUAUGAAAAAUGUUUAACAAGAAACAAAAAUGCCCAUAUUCUAUAAAGGAAGAUUUCAAUCAGCAGUUUUCAAAGUAAGAUAAACUCCACAUUUUCCAAAGUCAAGACAAUUUUGAUUACAGUUCUAUCUUAGUUGGAUUUACUGAAGAGGUGGAUAAUUUUAGGAAGUAAUAUAGUGCAAGAGAGAACUAAGACAUCUCCUCUGAUAAUUUAAAUCAGAAGGAACUGGGAAGUAACUCUUCAGUGGCUGUGCCUCGCUGCAUUUUCUCCAGAGACCAUUUCGGGAGAAGACCUCUGUGGAGAAAUCUGGAAACACUGGCAUAUAUUCAAUGAGAUAUCUUUGGAACAAGAGCCAAAUCCAAAUGCAAAACUCGCUUAUAUUUCAUAUAAACCUUACACAUAUAGUCUAAAGGGUACAUAAGAAGCACUUAGAGAAACAAGAUGGAGGGUCAAGGGGCCGACUAAAUAGUAAAUCAGCUACCAUGGAAAGGUUGUAAGGAGAAAAUUUGGCUUAAGGAAAGUCUCAGCAAGUAAGUUUUCUGCAAGACAAUCCAAUAAAGUGGGUUAAAUGUGUACAUCCUGAGAUUAAGAAAUUUGCUCAAAUUUUCACAGCAAAUCAGUUGUUAGAUCAGAUUAGGAUUCAGCCCUUCUUUCUGGAGGAAAGAGAUCCAUUCAUCAACCCCAUGGAGAUUCAGGGAACAGAAUGGAGAUAGCCCUCUUUAUUCAAAAGAACACCAAGUUUACCAUCAAUUUCUCCAUUAAUAACUGAGUAGCAAGGAAAUUGUUAGAUCCCCACAACUGGACCCCACCCAGCUUGAGGAGAAAAAACCCUCACAGACUAGUCUGUUCAAACCAGAAACCCCUUCACCCAGCCUGAGAGAUCAAAAUCAGGUUGGUUCUCAGGCUUACAGGAAGCCCUGUAAAUCUGUUUAAUCCCACUCUAUAAGCAAACAAAAUACCACUGUUACCCUGCACUUCCCACCAGGUACUUCCCACCAGAGGCACCAGACCCAUCAAUGGCCCCUAACAAACCUAAAAGUUUCUAUCUUCCUCGACAGGACCCCCUCCCCUGCCUAAACUCCCCUGUACAGCAUAUCCUCUUCCUUUGUUUGGGCCAAUAGCCUUUGCAUCCUUUACCCAGCCAUACCCAGACUGAAAUA